UACAGAGGGUGCGAGCGUUAAUCGGAAUUACUGGGCGUAAAGGGUGCGUAGACGGCCUGAUAAGUCGGAUGUGAAAGUCCUGGGCUCAACCUGGGGACGGCAUCUGAUACUGUUAGGCUUUGAGUUUGGGAGAGGGUGGUGGAAUUCCCGGUGUAGCGGUGAAAUGCGUAGAGAUCGGGAGGAACAUCCGUGGCGAAGGCGGCCACCUGGCCUAAAACUGACGUUGAGGCACGAAAGCGUGGGGAGCAAACAGG
rnacentral:rRNA from 1 species